UCCUGCCCCCCCCCACCUCACAGAGACUCCGUCAAUCAAUGUUUGCUUUUUACCGUCAAGAGGGACUUUUAGUCUUUAAAAUAUUCUCUGUUAUGAUAUCACUGAUUUCAUGGGGACGUCUUCCCCCGUCGCUCCUUCUUAAAAGUCCUCAAAGCCCCGUCGCCCCCCCCCCCAUCAGGCUGAUGCUCGGAAAAAAAGCGAUGUCCUUCUAGACAAAACGCCCCCAGCCAGGGCUGUAGUCUUCUUUUGCUAAAUGUUGGCAGUGGGAAUGCUAGCAAUAGGCCAUUUUUCUAAUAUCGAACAUGAAUUGUGGUGCAUCAAUCUGUGACAACGUGGCAAUCUGCACCCUGUUGUUAUGUUUUCUCCAUAAACUCAUCACCUCAACAUAGUCACAGGGGCGUAUUUAAUCAACUAAAUCUAAAUAUGAAUUAUCCUAAAUCUUAAACUGGGGGGGGGUUGGCCACGCGGCAUUCUGCCCUCUGUCAUCGCCACAUUCAGUGACCCCCGACUACACCGCUGACAUCACGGCAGAAACAAGAGGAUGUUUCAGAUUCACGCGGGAGCUCCAGUUUCCUUUUUAGCUUCAGGGCGUACUCCACCAACUCACAGCGCGCACGUUUUAAUUUGAAUUCUUCAUUUUCUUACUGUGAGAGUCGACACGAGGAGUUUCCAUCCAGAUGUGGCGGACAAAGUUUCCCCCAAAACUCAGUGAGAAAUUGCGAGUGAGUGCCUGUGAAUAUUAGACGUUGCAGCAGAAGACGAGGGACGCCGCAUGUGGUUCGACGAAGACGAAGGAGGAACGGCGUCCGACCCCGCCCUUUACCUUUAUAAUGCCGCUCACGCAUGCCUAAACUGUUCCACCAAAGCCGAAUGUAAAAACUUUAUUUGCAAUAUUUUGAGUUUGUUUUCGACUUCCAGUGUUUUACGUCCGUUUUGUUUCGGGGUUUUUUAAGGUGCAAAUUAAAAAACACGCAGACCAAUGGAUUGAAACACUUUCAGUCACAUAUUGGAACGUGCUAUUAGCGGCUAACGUAGCGUCACUCGAGCAAAGAUGAGGCACAGGCUGUAGCUUUUUUUUCUUCUUCUUGACAUCUGUAGCCUGUCGAUGCGUUAAAUCGGUCCCCUUUGAUUCUUUGUGUCUGUGGCUCGAUGGAUACUGGCCUGAGAAUUGUCACUGUGGAACUAUAAAGCACACGACUCAGCGAUUUCUCCUGUGUUUCUGUCACCACAGAGGAGGGGCUACAGUAUCUUGUGCCUUUUUCUUUCCUUUCUCUGCAUGACUUUCUAAUGUAAAACCCUGUGAUUUCCCCCCCCCCUGUAUUCUACAUGUAUACUCUUUGUAUAUAUUUUUAUAAUAUGCCUGCACAACGAUUAAUCCGGCCAAGUAUUAUAAUCCGAAGCUGAUCCCUUUCCUGGGGAGUUGUGAUGUGUUGAGAACGGGUCGUGUCUCUGAUGAAUGUCGUGGCGGGGCGAUCAGAAUGGGCAGUGAUGCCCGUCUCGUUUUACUUUAGCAAACACGCAGGCAGUCGAACAGGGGCGGCAGACAUCUCUUAACAUUCAUCCCGGCGUCCCUAAACUCAAAGCUGUGAAUAGUUGACUCGACUGUGGGAGACCUCCUGAGGCUGUGUGAGGGUGCAGCGGCAUCCGGCACCGUCACACAGCCGAGUACAGCGCUCUGACACCAGGGCUCCCGUUAGCAUGCAGGCAGGGAAUCAACUGAAUGAACCGAUGAAGAGGCUGCUAUCGUAAGAACAUGAUCUGUAUUGUAUCAGGUUAGAACAACCACAUUGCCUUUUUUCUUUAGGGAGGCCAACGUUCAUUAUAUCCUAGAAUGAAUAUAUUUAAGUGUGUGUGUAUGUAUCUAUACAUACUGUGUAUAUCUAUAUCUAUACCUAGAUAUAGAUAUUAUAAAGAGAUAUACAGACCUGUGUUAUAUAUCCGUGAUCAGGUAUUCAAACCAGAUGCACACUGUACUGAUUAAAACCUCUGUUGUGGUCGUAUUUUGUCUCCAUUGGAUGAGCGGGCGUCUUUUCUCCCUUUAGGUACAUUGUAACAGAGCUGCAUCAGAAUCUGGUACUUAAACAGUGUGUAUUCACUCUGCGGCCACAACGCUGCCGCUUGUGUAAUGAUUUCAGAAUGACUGGAAGCAAUCACAGACAAACUGAUGGCAAAUGACUUUUUGAUCCUUUUGAAUGAUUUGCCAGCGUGGCUUCUGUCGCCCCCCCAAUGUUUUGUCUGUUUUUAUUUUGUCUUUUAACUCAAUGCAAUUUCUUGUUACGAUCUGUCUCUUUUCUUGUUUGUUAUUUUCUCUGGAGAUUUUAAAUGUGAAAGCGCCUACACUACAGGCAGGCCUUUUUGUCUGAGCAUUACCUUGUGUCUCGGAUCUUUGUCGUGCGCAAUGACCACUACUAAUGAUCAUGUAAUCGUAGUGCUGAAAGCUGAGACUUACUUGAAAGUGUUGCUCUUCAAUAAAGUUUGAAGGCAAAAGGAAA
ensembl:lncRNA